rnacentral:rRNA from 1 species
GGGGGAAUAUUGGGCAAUGGGCGCAAGCCUGACCCAGCAACGCCGCGUGAAGGAAGAAGGCUUUCGGGUUGUAAACUUCUUUUCUCAGGGACGAAGCAAGUGACGGUACCUGAGGAAUAAGCCACGGCUAACUACGUGCCAGCAGCCGCGGUAAUACGUAGGUGGCAAGCGUUAUCCGGAUUUACUGGGUGUAAAGGGCGUGUAGGCGGGCUGACAAGUCAGAUGUGAAAUCCGGGGGCUCAACCCCCGAACUGCAUUUGAAACUGUUGGUCUUGAGUAUCGGAGAGGCAGGCGGAAUUCCUAGUGUAGCGGUGAAAUGCGUAGAUAUUAGGAGGAACACCAGUGGCGAAGGCGGCCUGCUGGACGACAACUGACGGUGAGGCGCGAAAGCGUGGGGAGCAAACAGGAUUAGAUACC